rnacentral:rRNA from 1 species
CGGCCGCGUCGACGGCAGUUCAAGUCUGCUGUCAAAGACCGGGCUUAACUUCGGAAAGGCAGUGGAAACUGAACAGCUAGAGUAUGGUAGGGGCAGAGGGAAUUCCUGGUGUAGCGGUGAAAUGCGUAGAGAUCAGGAAGAACAUCGGUGGCGAAGGCGCUCUGCUGGACCAUAACUGACACUCAGGGACGAAAGCUAGGGGAGCGAAUGGGAUUAGAUACCCCAGUAGUCCUAGCCGUAAACGAUGGAUACUAGGUGUUGUCUGUAUCGACCCGGACAGUGCCGUAGCUAACGCGUUAAGUAUCCCGCUGGGGAGUACGCACGC